UAAAAUUUUUCCACUCCUUAAUGCAUUUACUAUCCUAAUAUUAUCAUUUUGUGGGUUUUUUCCUAAGUUUAUGUUACUAGACUCUCCUUGGUGAAAUCCAAUAGUUGGGCAUUUUCUUGGAUUUUCUAUGGGCUGACUGAUGAUGCAUCAUAAUCACAUAUUAAGUACUACCACAAUAGGAUAUUAAUGCAUUAUCCGCUUAAAAAAUAAACAUAAAAACUACUCAAUUCCAUCCUUGGCACAGAAAAAACAUAAGUCACUUAAAUAAAGAUAAAAGACUAUAAUUUUAUGACUAACACACAUCUAAGAAAAAAUAUCUUGAGAGUUUCUUUUAUCACAGUCAUUACAAAGCCCAUUAAGAGAUAAUGGGCUUGCCUAAAGAAGACCCAUGGGCCAACCCAUGGCUGCCACAUGGGCCAGCAGGGAGCCAAGAGAAAGGGGGCCCAUGUGCUCCUUAACUGAUUUGGUGC
rnacentral:lncRNA from 1 species